rnacentral:rRNA from 1 species
UGCCUGCCCGGUGACUCUUAGUUAAACGGCCGCGGUAUAUUGACCGUGCAAAGGUAGCAUAAUCACUUGCCUCUUAAAUAGAGGCUGGUAUGAAUGGCAAGACGGAGUUCUUGCUGUCUCUUCCCUGGUAUAUUUGAAUUUAAUUUCUUUGUGAAGAAGCGAAGAUAUAAUCGUAGGACGAGAAGACCCUGUCGAGCUUAAGCAAUGAAAUGCAGGCAUAAUAAGGUUUUUUUGCUAAUGUGCCUUUACCAAGGAAGUAUUUUUACUUAGAGAGUUGGUAUGUCAUGCGUUUUAUGUUUUGAUUGGGGCAAUCACGGAGAAAAAAUACCCUCCGUUGUAAAUUGAUAAUACUGUUAAGAGACUCUUUAAGGUGUAAGAUUUACGUAUUUGUGAUCCACAAUGAAGUGACCAAAGGAACAAGUUACCGUAGGGAUAACAGCGUAAUUUUUUUGGAGAGUUCAUAUUGAUAAAAAAGUUUGCGACCUCGAUGUUGGAUCGGGAUUUCCAGGAGAUGCAGCAGUUUCC